GGGCCAGUAGCUCAGUUGGCUAGAGCGCACCCCUGAUAAGGGUGAGGUCGGAGGUUCGAGCCCUCCUUGGCCCA
rnacentral:tRNA from 1 species